rnacentral:rRNA from 1 species
UACGUAGGAGGCAAGCGUUGUCCGGAAUUAUUGGGCGUAAAGAGCUCGUAGGCGGUUUGUCGCGUCUGCUGUGAAAACUGGAGGCUCAACCUCCAGCCUGCAGUGGGUACGGGCAGACUAGAGUGCGGUAGGGGAGAUUGGAAUUCCUGGUGUAGCGGUGGAAUGCGCAGAUAUCAGGAGGAACACCAAUGGCGAAGGCAGAUCUCUGGGCCGUAACUGACGCUGAGGAGCGAAAGCAUGGGGAGCGAACAGG